AAGAAGAAAAGAAACAAUAUGAUUAGUACCAAUCUUCUGAUUCAUUCUGCUAUAAAUACUUAUGUAUAAAAGGAGGUGUGUGGUAUACGUCAAUUAUAAAUAAGAUUUGUAGUAGAAAUCAAUGAGAUGUGGGGUAUAGGUCAACGAGAUGUGUGGUAAAGGUCAAUGAGAUGUGGGGUAUAGGUCAAUGAGAUGUGUGGUAUAGGUCAAUGAGAUGUGUGGUAUAGAUCAAUGAGAUGUGUUGUUUAUGUCAAUGAGAUGUGUGGUUUAUGUCAAUGAGAUGUGUGGUAUAGAUCAAUGAGAUGUGUGGUUUAUGUCAAUGAGAUGUGUGGUAUAUGUCAAUGAGAUGUGUGGUAUAGAUCAAUGAGAUGUGUGGUUUAUGUCAAUGAGAUGUGUGGUAUAUGUCAAUGAUAUGUGUGGUAUAGAUCAAUGGGAUGUGUAGUUUAUGUCAAUGAGAUGUGUGGUAUUUGUCAAUGAGAUGUGUGGUAUAGAUCAAUGAGAUGUGUGGUAUAGAUCAAUGAGAUGUGUGGUUUAUUUCAAUGAGAUGUGUGGUAUAUGUCAAUGAGAUGUGUGGUAUAGAUCAAUGAGAUGUGUGGUUUAUGUCAAUGAGAUGUGUGGUAUAUGUCAAUGAGAUGUGUGGUAUAGAUCAAUGAGAUAUGUGGUUUGUGUCAAUGAGAUGUGUGGUAUAUGUCAAUGAGAUGUGUGGUAUAGAUCAAUGAGAUGUGUGGUUUAUGUCAAUGAGAUGUGUGGUAUAUGUCAAUGAGAUGUGUGGUAUAGAUCAAUGCUAUGUGUGGUUUAUGUCAAUGAGAUGUGUGGUAUAGAUCAAUGAGAUAUGUGGUAUAUGUCAAUGAGAUGUGUGGUAUAGAUCAAUGAAAUGUGCGGUUUAUGUCAAUGAGAUGUGUGGUAUAGGGCAAUGAGAUGUGUGGUAUAGGUCAAUUAGAUUAUGGUAUGGGUCAAUGAGAUGUGUGGUAUAGGUCAAUGAGAUGUGUGGUAAAGGUCAAUGAGAUGUGUGGUAUGGGUCAAUGAGAUGUGUGGUAUAUGUCAAUGAUAUGUGUGGUAUGGGUCAAUGAGAUGUGUGGUAUAAGUCAAUGAGAUGUGUGGUAUAGGUCAAUCAGAUGUGUGGUACAGGUCAAUGAGAUGUGUGGUAUAUGUCAAUGAGAUUUGUUUAUGGGCGUUUUUGAAUAAAAACGUGAUUUCUUGUCCCAGCCACUUUUAAAAAAAUGUGUUUGAUCUUUACAAUUAAUGUUUU